rnacentral:rRNA from 1 species
GAUGAACGCUGGCGGUAUGCCUAACACAUGCAAGUCGUACGAGAGUUUUUAACUCUAGUGGCGGACGGGUGAGUAACACGUGAGAAUUUGCCUUUAGAGGGGGAUAACAAUUGGAAACGAAUGCUAAUACCCCAUAUGCAAGGGAAACGCUUUAGUGCUAGAGGAUGGGUCUGUAUGGUAUCAGCUUGUUGGUGAGGUAAUGGCUCACCAAGGCUAUGACGCCUAACUGGUUUGAGAGGAUGAUCAGUCACACUGGAACUGAGACACGGCCCAGACUCCUACGGGAGGCAGCAGUGGGGAAUUUUGGACAAUGGGGGCAACCCUGAUCCAGCAAUGCCGCGUGAGUGAAGAAGGCCUUCGGGUUGUAAAGCUCUUUUGUCAGGGAAGAAACAGCAGCUCUAACACAGUCUGCGAAUGACGGUACCUGAAGAAUAAGCACCGGCUAACUACGUG